AUACAGAGGGUGCAAGCGUUAAUCGGAUUUACUGGGCGUAAAGCGCGCGUAGGUGGCUAAUUAAGUCAAAUGUGAAAUCCCCGAGCUUAACUUGGGAAUUGCAUUCGAUACUGGUUAGCUAGAGUAUGGGAGAGGAUGGUAGAAUUCCAGGGGUAGCGGUGAAAUGCGUAGAGAUCUGGAGGAAUACCGAUGGCGAAGGCAGCCAUCUGGCCUAAUACUGACACUGAGGUGCGAAAGCAUGGGGAGCAAACAGGAUUAGAUACCCUGGUAGUCCAUGCCGUAAACGAUGUCUACUAGCCGUUGGGGCCCUUGAGGCUUUAGUGGCGCAGCUAACGCGAUAAGUAGACCGCCUGGGGAGUACGGUCGCAAGACUAAAACUCAAAUGAAUUGACGGGG
rnacentral:rRNA from 1 species